rnacentral:lncRNA from 1 species
UUAAUCUCAUGGUCAGAUCCUGCUGCUCAUAUGGAUGUAGAUUUUAGUGAGAUUGAUGCAAAAUCCGACAAAUUUAGUGUUCACGCAGAGGAGAUCGAUUAAUACAAUGUACUAGAAAUAUAUAUAGAGUUCGAUUACUAUGCUAUCAAUACUACCAAGUUCUUGAUACUAUCGAACUUUUUGCCGUUAGAUUUACCCUUUGAUCACUUGCAUCCGUUAGAUUAUACUAUUCAACCAAUCAUCGACUCAACCCUAGGAGAACACUAUCAUCUUAACCGCAUACCCUUUCAUUCAGUGUUUGAAAACUCGAUAGCACCAAGCGUUUAGUACUAUCGAUAGUAUAUUAGCAUAAUUGUAGAAAUAUA